rnacentral:rRNA from 1 species
GGCGACGUGAGCGGUUCGCUGCCCGCGACGUCGCGAGAAGUCCACUGAACCUUAUCAUUUAGAGGAAGGAGAAGUCG